CCUACGGGUGGCUGCAGUGAGGAAUAUUGGUCAAUGGACGAGAGUCUGAACCAGCCAAGUAGCGUGAAGGAUGACUGCCCUAUGGGUUGUAAACUUCUUUUAUAUGGGAAUAAAACGUUCCACGUGUGGGAUUUUGUAUGUACCAUAUGAAUAAGGAUCGGCUAACUCAGUGCCAGCAGCCGCGGUAAUACGGAGGAUCCGAGAGUUGUCCGGAUUUAUUGGGUUUAAAGGGAGCGUAGGUGGAUUGUUAAGUCAGUUGUGAAAGUUUGCGGCUCAACCGUAAAAUUGCAUUUGAAACUGGCAGUCUUGAGUACAGUAGAGGUGGGCGGAAUUCGUGGUGUAGCGGUGAAAUGCUUAGAUAUCACGAAGAACUCCGAUUGCGAAGGCAGUUCACUGGACUGCAACUGACACUGAGGCUCGAAAGUGUGGGUAUCAAACAGGAUUAGAUACCCCUGUAGUC
rnacentral:rRNA from 1 species